ACUAAAAUUAGGUCCCCUUCCACUCAUAUUGGUGAACAUGUAGUAAAAAAUUGUUAUUUCAGAAGGAAAUGGACACGAAACAGUUGGCGGAGCUUCUAAAGGGCACUAUAGACCCAAAUCAUAGGAAUGAAGCUGAGAAGAAACUAACCGAGCUUCACAAGAUUAUUGGGUUUGGCCCCCUGGUCCUGCAGAUAGUGAUGGGUCAGGAUAUAGAGUUACCGGUCAGACAAGCUGCAGUCAUCUAUCUCAAGAACAUGGUGAGCACGAACUGGAAGGAACGUGAACCUGAUGCUCCUGGAGCUCCUGUACCCUUUUCUAUACAUGAACAGGACAGAGCUGUCAUCCGGGACAAUAUUGUGGAAGCUGUAGUUCACGCUCCAGACAUCAUCAGGGUCCAGCUGGCGGUUUGUGUCAGUCAAAUUGUGAAGCAUGAUUUCCCGGGGAGAUGGCCUCAAGUAGUGGAUAAAGUGUCCAUUUACCUUCAAAAUCCAGAACCCUCAGGUUGGAUGGGAAGCUUGCUCUGUUUGUACCAGCUGACUAAGAACUUUGAAUACAAGAAGACUGAGGAACGGAAACCUUUAACUGAUGCUAUGAAUCUUCUUCUUCCUCAAAUAUACACCUUAAUGGUUCAGAUGAUGCCUGACGACAGCGCAGACAGUGUAGCAGUUCAGAAACAGAUAUUAAAGAUAUUCUUUGCUCUCACCCAGUAUGUUCUACCGUUAGACCUUAUUUCAAGAGAAGUGUUCAGUAAUUGGAUGGAGAUCUUGAGACAGUUGGCGGAGGUCGAUGUUCCUGCUCAUACUCUACAGGCUGAUGAAGAGGACAGACCUGAAUUAAUCUGGUGGAAAAGGAAGAAGUGGGCUCUUCAUACCCUUACAAGACUCUUUGAGAGGUAUGGUUCACCUGGAAGUGUUACAAAGGAGUAUAAGGAGUUUGCUGAGUGGUUUCUUAAAACCUUCUCCGGUGGAAUUCUAACAUCUAUGCUGACAAACCUUGAUCAAUACAGGCAGAAGAUUUAUGUUUCUCCGAGGGUGAUGCAACAGGCGUUGAAUUAUAUUAACACCGCUGUAAGCCAUUCCCACUCCUGGAAACUAAUCAAACCCCACAUGCUUCAGAUUAUUCAGGAUAUUGUGUUCCCACUGAUGUCUUACAGCGAACAAGACGCAGAACUCUGGGAUUCGGAUCCGUACGAGUACAUCAGGAUCAAAUUCGAUAUAUUUGAAGAUUUUGUUUCUCCUGUAACUGCAGCGCAGACAUUGUUGCACUCAGCUUGCAAAAAAAGGAAGGAGAUGUUACAGAAGACGAUGACACUUCUUCUUCAGAUCAUUCAGGCGCCUGGGACGAAUCCCAGUCAGAAGGAUGGAGCCCUCCACAUGAUUGGAACAAUGGCCGAUAUCCUGUUAAAGAAACCAAUGUAUAAAGAGCAGAUGGAGAAGUUCCUGGUUGAGAUAGUGUUCAGGGAGUUCGGGUCUCCACACGGACACCUCAGGGCUCGUGCAUGUUGGGUGCUCCACUAUUUCUCUGACGUGAAGUACAACAAUGAGACGGUUCUUAGGGAAGCUUUCAGGCUCACUGUCCAUUGUCUUCUUCAUGACAGUGAAGCACCAGUCAAGGUUGAGGCUGCUAUAGCUGUACAGAUGAUGUUAACUAGUAAAGGAGAGGCAGCAAGGCAAUACCUUGAACCUCAAAUACGAGAAAUUACUCUGGAACUCCUUAAGAUUAUCAGGGAGACAGAAAACGAUGAUCUGACGAGUGUGAUGCAAAAAAUAGUCUGUACUUACACAGAGCAGUUGGUUCCAGUUGCUGUUGAUAUCUGCCAACAUCUUGUGGGAACAUUUGCUCAGGUUCUUGAAGCAGCUGACAGCGGAGAUGAGAAAGCUAUCACUGCCAUGGGUCUUCUUAACACCAUGGAGACCAUCCUCGGAGUCAUGGAGGAGCGAGCAGAGGUGCAUGCUGCCCUGGAACCUGUAGUACUGCAGGCAAUUCAUCAUAUAUUCACAAACUCAAUUAUGGAAUUCUAUGAGGAGGCCAUGUCUCUGACCUGUGAUCUCACAACUAAGGCCAUUUCUGAAAACAUGUGGAAAAUGCUGGAGGUGAUGUACACUGUAUUCCAGAGAGAUGGAGUGGACUAUUUCACCGAUAUGAUGCCAGCUCUUCACAAUUAUGUAACUGUUGACACAGUGGCGUUUUUGUCUACCCCAGACUACAUGAUGGCGAUGUACAACAUGGCUAGAACUAUGCUUGAGAGUGAUCCAGGGGAGGAUCCAGAAUGCCAUGCUGCUAAAUUGUUGGAAGUUAUAAUUCUCCAGUGUAAAGGACUAAAUAUAGAUCAGGUUAUCCCGAUCUUUAUUGAAUUGGUGCUGAAAAGGUUGACCAGGGAAGUUAAAACAUCAGAAUUGAGAACAAUGUGUCUCCAGGUGAUAAUAGCAGCCAUGUAUUACAAUCCUGUACUUCUGGUGGAUACCUUGGAUAAAAUGGGAGAAAACGUUUUCGCUCAAUUUAUUCAACAGUGGAUUCAUGACACUGACUGCUUUAUUGGACUCCAUGAUAGAAAGAUUUGUGUGCUGGGUCUUUGUCAUUUGCUGCAAAUGCCAGAUAAACCUGCAAUAGCUGCUACUGCCCAGCAAUUGGUUCCUUCAAUUAUUCUUCUUUUUGAUGGGCUCAAGAGAGCUUAUGCAGCAAGGAAUGAGGAUGAUUCUGAUGACGAAGAUGAUGAUGAGGAUGGAGAGGAUGGAGUCGAUAAUGAACUGCUGGACUCCGAUGAAGAUGAAUUAGAUGAUGACGGACAAGUGUAUUUAGAAAGUCUUCAGGAAAAGGUGAAGAAGGCUGGAUCAGCUGAAGGGUUUAAGAUAACUGCAAGUAUCGAGGAUGCCGAGGAUAGUGAGGAUGAUCUCUCUGAUGAUGAUUACGACGGCUGCGAGGAAACUAGUCUGGAGGCCUAUACCACACCAUUAGAUGACGAGGAAGGAGAAAAUGUUGAUGAAUACAACAUUUUCAAGGAGGUUCUUGGGUGUAUUCAAACUACUAAUCCAUCCUGGUAUCAUCAGCUUACAUCUCAUCUAUCCGAGGUUCAAGGUAAAGCUUUGACUGAAGUGAUCACCCUGAGCAACCAAAGGCUGGCUGAGAGGGAAAGUAGAAAAAUUCAACAACAAGGAGGAUAUCAGUUUAAUCAACAAGUUGUUCCAGGACAAUUCAACUUCGGAGCCCCUGCUACAUCACCCUUUGGAAAAUAGACUCAAAAUUCAUAAUUUCUCAAUAGUUUAAAAAUAUUUUCCGUAAACUCAUCUCCCGAAUCAAUAAUUUCCUUUCAAUAUUGUAGACUUUAAAAAUAUCUUUUGGAAAAAUUUAGAAUUUUGUGUAUUUAAAACAAGUUUAGAGAAAGUUUGCAGCUUAAACAUGUAGUGCUUCAUGUCCUUAGUAUUUGAUACGCCUCCAUUUUACAACCAGUCUUUAUUUGCAUUGUUUUGGAUAUUUGCUGAAAUGAGAGUUUAUAAACGAAAUCAACUUAGACAUUUGUUUUUGUCAAAACGCUACUUGAAUUAAGGUUCUUGAAUUUGGGUUUUAUUUUAAAAGGGGGGGGGGAGUCAGCUAACUAAUUAUCUGAUCUGUGACACGUCGAUUGUCAAUUGUCGAUUGUCGAUUAAAUCUUAAGUCUUUUUGUGAAUCUAAACCAUUUAAAUCCUCCGUCAAGUCUAGCAUGAAUUAAAAGAAAUCUAGCUGAAUACCUGGCUCUAUUUACCCUGUAUGCAAUGUCCCCUGCGUCAAAAUGUAUCCUGUCUUCUGUGAUAAUAAUGUAUAAAGAGGUGCCACUGCCCACUGUUCAAAGCAGACGAUCUAAGGGGGUUCUACUUUCAUAGAAUCUGUCAUAAAAAAUAUUUUUUAUUCGUUGCUUGGACCAUGCGCCGUCCGAACAAGAAUCAACAUAAAAAAUGAAAAAUUGAGAUUUUAUUUAAAUUGUUUGCUUUUUUGCGCGUGUGCACCUCUUGUCAAAUGUCUUGUCAUAUAUUAUGUAUUUUUCUGAAAUAUAUUUUUUAAUCUUC
rnacentral:misc_RNA from 1 species